rnacentral:rRNA from 1 species
UACGGAAGGGGCAAGCGUUGUUCGGAAUCAUUGGGCGUAAAGGGCGCGUAGGUGGUUCUGUAUGUCUACCGUGAAAGCGUACGGCUCAACCGUAUUUUGUCGGUGGAAACUGCAGGACUUGAGGCUGGGAGGGGCUGGUGGAAUUCCCUGUGUAGCGGUGAAAUGCGUAGAGAUCAGGAAGAACACCGGUGGCGAAAGCGCUCUGCUAGGCCGCAACUGACACUGAGGGACGAAAGCUAGGGGAGCGAACGGG